AAUAUGUGUCUUUGACAUCCAUCAAAUCACCCACUUGAUUCUACACAUCCACACUUUUGAAGGAAAAUACCUCUCAUCAGAAUGUUUGAAAUAAGUGCUUGAGUGAUAUUCGAAAAAGGAAAAGAUGGUAUCCCUGGCAGCCAAGGUAGUACUGGGAAGAAAGUGAGAGCAGGGGCCCAAACAGGAUGUCAUCCCCCGAGCCUGGGGGAGGCAGCAGAGGGCAUGGGAGAGGCUGGCCCCGCAACACUGCAGACACUCUCAGGAGGAGGCAGGCUGCACGGAGCUUGUCUGAGACACCCAGAAUUCUUCCCCUGGAGGGUUCAGUACAAGUCACAACGGAAGGAGUGAAGGUGGCUCCCUAGGGGGCCCUGGUGGAGGACUGGGUUUUGUGGUGGCUGUGUUGGGACUGAGGUGGCAGCAUGGCAUCCAGGUGGGGAACCCAGGAAGAGAUACUCAAAAAGGCCUGGACCAGAGCCCAAGGUGUGGGGGUGCUGGGCACAGAGCAGUUAUUUGAGCAUGGACGGACUCACUGAAGAACAAGAUGGAGAGAAGACUGGGGUUCAGUAAGAUUAGGAAAGCUUGGAGGAUUAAAAGCGUAGGAACCCUCCACACUGAGGAACGGGAAAGAGAUGAAGCCUGUGCAGAGGAUAAGAGGAAGAAAAGGUCUAGGAGAGACAGGUUGAGGGAAAGGAGGGUUUUGAGCAGGGUGAUGCGGCUGGCAGGGGUGGGAGAAUGAGAGCAGAGGAAGGCCACUGCAUUGGGCAGCCCUGCCCUGGGGGUCGGUCCUGCAGAGGGAACAGCCCCAGAGAGUAAGAACAGGGUGCUGACACCCUGAGCAAGCUGAGAGAGGGACCAGGGUGGAUGACCUGCCCGCUCUUCCAAGCAGCGUGAUGGCACCAGGCGGGGGAGACACUGAUGGAGGGUGGAGGGAAGUCACGGCCCAGCUCACAUGGACAGAGGAGGGAGCCACCACAGACGAGAAAAUCACAGGAAUGAAGACCACAAGCAAAACCAGUCCUAGGGGACCCCGCGUGGGAGGGGACAGCAGUGCUGGCAAGAGGGAGUGAGAAAGGGAAGGGAUGUCCCAGGAGCCCAGGAUGGACUUGAGAAAGGGGAUCUGACUAGGGCUGAGUCAGAAGCGCGUCUGCAGCGAGCGGGGGAGGGGCGCACAGAGGGUCAAAGUGAGGGAGGGGACGACGAAGACAGUCUGUGUAGUAGCCACUGGACCACAGCAGUUAGCCGAGCUAAGAAGAGUUGAGCUUCUGAGAGGGCCCCCGGCCUGGCCUGCCUCCUAGAAAAUGAGCCUGAGGUCAUGCUGGAGUUGGCCCUUUCUCCUGAGCCCAGCCGGCCGUGGCUUCUCUUCUGAGAAUGCUCCUCACUGCCCCCAGCCCCAGCCCAGAAAGUCCUGUCUAGGGCGGCCGCCCUGGCCUCGGUCUGCUUCCUGAGGCUUCCUCCCCUCCCCUACAGCUCCCCGGGGAGGGAGGUGAUGCUUCCUCUCUGGAACUCCUGCCCAGGCCAUUGGGGUCUCCAGUGGUUCUGGAAAAUCAGGCUGCCCACACUUGUCCACUGAGAUGGUCCAGGCCCUUGGUCAGGAGCUGGAGAGGUUGGAGUCACCUAGGCAGGAGUGAUGGAGCCUGGCCCAGUGGGGUGCUGAUGAACUGAAAAGUGGGGAAUGCAGGGACAUGUUUCAGAAGCAGUAGAUUGGGUAUGGGGGUGAGAUAAAGAGAGGGGCUCAGGCUGGUCUCUCCCAUCGACUGGCACUGAACACUGUUACUCAAAUAGCAGACAUCCAAGGAAGAAGCGUACUAGGUGGGUGUGUGACAGCCAGAGUUUUCUCCCAGCCUGGGAAACCUCAGGGAAGAAAGCAGGUCUGUUUUCCUAAGAGGGGGCGGAGGGGGGGCAGGGCCUCUGGAUGGCUGGAUGGGAGUGCAAGACGGGACCCUUCUCAUGUCCAGCCUCUGCAGGGACCUCCCCGAAAGGUUCAGGGCUGCAGUCUCUCAGUCAGCUCUGGGGAGGCUGCGGAAGUCCAGAUGGCUGGGACCAGCUCAGGCCUGACCUCCCUUCUCCCAGCUCCUGCCCUGGGGGCAGCCAUGGUAGUCUGUGCCUGAAGGCCUGGCCCGACUCCUUGCAGUCCUGAGACAAGCACUCCCCCUUGACGUAGUAGGAUGCAACUUUCCACAAGAUGGGCAUUUUUGGUUUUUACCUCUGGGAAAUGGAGUAUUUGUUUUCCAAGACAGAUUCUUGGAUAGGAAGGCUGGGCUUGGAAAAAGUUUUUGGUAAAAAUGGGAAGGUGGGAAAUGGAGGAAGGCAGCCUGAUCCCAGCAGGUGCCACAAGUAGCUUCCUUACUGUCCAGUUGAGGCUCAACUCCAGGGUAUGGACUAGGGUGGUCUGACCACUGGGUUUGGAGGGGCAGGGGCGCAUUUAGGUUCAUAGAUGUAGACUGUCAUCACACCACGGGGGCCAAUAGGGAAACCAAACUGAAGGACAGAAGCGAUGGCCCUCGGGUGAACGACGGCCAUGCAUGUCCACAGACUGCACACACACACGCCCUAGCGCAUUCCCACCCCAUGGGCACUGGCUGCGGCAGGUUUCACUCAGAGCACAGGACCAGUCCCUCUAAGGAUUAUCUGUGUGCCUGCAGAUGCCUGGAGAGGCCCUCGAGUGUUCAGGCUUCAUAGGUCUUACCAGGCCCUGGGGAAGGCUCCCUGGGGCUGGAACUGUCGGGGUAUCCACAGCUUCAGAGCCUUCCCUUCCACAUAUAGUGCACCAUUACUAGCUGGUUAUGUGUCCUAACCUCCCCACUUUCCACCACCAGACUGUAAGGACGGGAUGGCUCCUUGCUUUCUCCAUUCCCAGGGCCUGCAAAGCUGCUGUUGAGAUGAAUGAACACACCAAUGACCAAAUCCUUACCCAGCGGACGAAUUCCUUUUGGUGCAGCAUAAACAUACUGUUCUUCAGUGGUGAGGAAAAGCGGCCACCUGGAAUCUCCCUAAAACCCCUCCCAUACUCCAGGCCUGGAGCUGAAACCCUGAGGUGGCAGAGACCCAGCUUUUGGCCAUGCAGCUCUGUCAGCACAGCACACGGAACAGCAGAACAAGACAGAAGGGACACAGGCCUGAGUGAUUUGACAAUGAGCCACUCCACCAGAUCGGGCCACCUUCCUCCCUUUGGACUGUAAUGUGAGAAGGAAAGAAACAAGUAUCUUAUUUAAUCCACUACUUCUCACGGCAGAUUCUACUACUGUCAAAUUUGUGGAGAAAAAUGCCAUAACCAGUCGGGAUGGUAUCACCAUAAAUUCCUUGUCUCCAACCUCAGCUGAGUUCCAUUUUCACUUGAUCUUGGUCAGAUCCCUUGCAAAUUUCCCUAAGCAAAGGCUUCAAACUCUCAUGUUUAUCAGGCCUCUAUCCAAACCCUCUCAGCCAAUAAUACUGUCUCUCAUGGCACUACACAGGUUGAGACCACCAAGUAGGGUCUCCCACCAUGUCCCACCUACCCCUGCAAUCUUCUCCCCUUAUCCCAGUAUGUAGGUGCCCUUCUCUCUUCUCUGGUCAGAUUCCUUCAAUUAAAAUCACAGCUCCACCAUGGGCUGCCCAUCUUGACCCCGUUUCCUCAAUUCUAAAAUGGAGGUGAUGACAAUGAUACUCAACAGGAUUGUGAAGAUAUGAGAUGAUGCAUUCAAAGUGACAGCACAGUGCCUGAUAAACAGUAAGCAGUGGCCACAUGCCACUAACAUUGCUAAAAUAAGUGUGCCCACAUCACUACCUGAUAGAAGCCCUUCACUCAUCUCCAAAACCUACAGAACAAAAUCUAAACCUUUUGAUAUGUUAGGCCCUUCAUGACAUAUCCAUUUCCCCUUGACUCUUCUCUCUUGCCAUUCUGCUUUGAACACUGUGCUUCAACAAUUCGACCCACAGAUCUAAAAAAUAAAAGCAGUGGUCAGUCAUUCAACAAAUACAUACUAAAAUACACAAUUUUGGCAUUUUAGUGACUAUGCCAAUAAAGUCCCCUUCCUGGAAAAGAAUACCCACCUCCCUAAAAAUCACCAACAUGAGAAAGAGCCUACUUUUCAUUUUGUGUCUGGGAAGUGGCACUGAAUUCAGUUUUCUCCUUUGUAAAUUGACCUUCCUUUCAGCUAUAAAAUGUGAUGCAAUGCUAAGGUGGCUGUGAGGGAAAAAGCAAUCUUUAUAGUUUACUUCAAGUCUUAGUAUGUUGUUUAAAUGUACUUGAAAUGUCACUUCCUGUGGAAAAGGAAUGAGGUUCCUUUUAAGAGGGACUUAUGAUACAUGAGGCAGACGGUGAGGCGGGCCACCAAGAGAUGCUAAAGAAUGGGAAGAGGUCCAAAGUGGCCAGAGAGGGCGGAGGAGACAGGGGAAGGCCCUCAGGGUGGAGUCAGUCCCAGAUUUCCGCAAGGCCUGGCAGCACCAGGCUGCAGCCCCCGUCUCUUCCUCUUCCUGACUUCCCAGAAGAGGCACGAAGGGCUGUAGGGAGUACUUAGCACUAGACAAGAGUCUGCUUAGCUGGCCAAGCAUGCCUGUCAGGUCAAAUAAAUGCCCUUGUCAGCUAAGUCAUCUGUGGGUCUUUCUCGUGGGGGAAGGGGGUGGGGAGGAAAGGCCGGAGGGACAUGGCCUAGAGAUUCCAACACAAAGGCUAAAACACUGGUUUAUCAAGACACUGUACUUCCCGAUGAGGAGAUGAUGGUCAAAUCAAAUCCAUUCUGGCCUGAGGAAAGUCAGAGUUAGAGGAAUUUUAUUCAAAUUAUUAACUCUAGUGCUUUUUUGGAGCCAGAACCUAUAGCCAAUUCCUCCUCAAGUCCACGAGAGUUAAGCAUAUCCUGUUCUCCAGGUUAUAUGAACAACUUUUAGGCAUUCCUUAGAUGUAUAUUAAGUGGUGUGGUGGCCAAAUAGUUCCAAUUAAAAUCAAUAAAAUUUUAUAUGAAUGCAAAUAAUCUAAAGACACAUAAAUUUAGCCCAAUAAAUGCAUGUGAUUCAGUAUUAAAUGAAUAAACAAAUAAAUGUUUAA